AUACGUAGGGGGCGAGCGUUGUCCGGAAUGAUUGGGCGUAAAGGGCGCGUAGGCGGCCCGGUAAGUCUGGAGUGAAAGUCCUGUUUUUAAGAUGGGAAUUGCUUUGGAUACUGUCGGGCUUGAGUGCAGGAGAGGUAAGUGGAAUUCCCAGUGUAGCGGUGAAAUGCGUAGAGAUUGGGAGGAACACCAGUGGCGAAGGCGACUUACUGGACUGUAACUGACGCUGAGGCGCGAAAGUGUGGGGAGCAAACAGGAUUAGAUACUCUGGUAGUCCACACUGUAAACGAUGAAUGCUAGGUGUAGGGGGUAUCGACCCCUUCUGUGCCGCAGUCAACACAAUAAGCAUUCCGCCUGGGGAGUACGGCCGCAAGGUUGAAACUCAAAUGAAUUGACGGGG
rnacentral:rRNA from 1 species